rnacentral:lncRNA from 1 species
AAGCCUUGAAGAAUUUAUUGUUCCAUUAAACAGGAAACCUUCCUUCUUUGAGUGAAGUUUGGAUGAACAGAUGGCAUUUCACUAGUUGGCUACUUCUAGUGUGGAUUUUCCUUCACUAUUCUUUUUUUGUCCCUCAUGGUGUGCUGCAUCAUGGUGUGUCCCUCAUGAUGUGCUGCCUUUUAAUGUCUUUGCAUUUCUUGUGUUACCUUUGUUGUUACUGACAUGCUAAUGUUUUGGACGCUGAAGGUGAUAUUUAAAUAAGGUUGCAGGCAAGCCAUCUGCAUAUACUUAAGAACUUGGGUUCCCGUAAGUUUCCAUAGUAUUUUGGAAAAGCUGCUGGAAUUUAUUUUGAGAGAGCAGAACAAGAAAUUUAAUGUAAUUUCUGUGUACUGAAUUUUAUCAAUGGAUAGACUGCCGAAGUGCUAGUAGCAGAAAAGAAAAGAACAUAAAUAGGCAAACCUACUUUGAUUUCAAUCUGAUUCUGUUCUGCUCUUUCAUAGAAUAAUAGAACCAUCAAGGUUGGAAGAGAGCUUUAAGAUCAACAAGUCCAAUUGUCAACCCAGCACCACCACUGUAACCCCUAAAUCACUAAACCAUAUCACCUAGAGCAAGAUCCAGAUGCUUCCUAAACACCUCUGGGGUUGGUGACUCCACCACCUCCCAGGGCAACAUAACAGUGAAAUUUUUUUUGUAAUAUCCAAUCUGAAUCUUCCCCCUCUCAGUUUAAUGCCAUUUCCCCUUGUCCUCUCACUGCAGACACAGUAGAAGAGACCAGCCCCCAUCUCACCACAACCUCCUUUCAGGAAGUGUAGAGAGCAAUGAGGUCCUCCAUGAGCCUCCUCAACACUUAAAAAUCCCAGCUCCCUCAGCCACUCCUCAUAAGAUAUAUUUUCUAGACCUUUCCUUCGUCUAAGUGGGCCACUUUUUCACAGAAGAAGAUCAGCUUGGUCAAGUAAGACCUGCCUUUGUAAAUCACAAUGACUGGGCUUUGUCCCACAGUUGUUCUGCCUGUGCUGUGGGAUGGUACUCAGGAUGAUCUCUUCCAUAACCUUGCCUGGAACAGAGGUCAGGUGGCAGGUCUGUAGUUCCCCUGAUCAUCUUUCCAACUCUUCUUCUUGUUGAUGGGCAUUACAUUUGCUAAUUACCAGAAAACUGGAACUUCUCCAGUUAAGCAGGACUGUUGGUAGGUAAUAGAGUGUGGUUUGGCAAGUUCCUUCAUGAGUUCUGUCAUUACUCCAUGGUGGAUUCCAUCAGGGCCCAUAGCAUUCCAGCCUGAAUGUGCAUAUGUGCAUGCCAGCUUCCCUUCUAUGCAUGCCAGUGAUGUUCAGUCCUCCCUAGGGUGCUCUGCUCACUCAAUGUGUAGCUCCAACAGCAGAGGCUUUUCUGUCACGGUCUCACCCUGAAAUGAGGUAAAUUAUUAGUCAUUGGAAGAAAUUUGAAAAACUGAGCAGGUAGGAAAAGAUGUUAAGAAAAGCCUUUGGUUUAAGCCUGAAAGUGUAUGCUGAAGUUGGUAAAACAAGGUGAUUGAAGAGUUCAGGUUGGUGGUCCAGAACAGUAUCAUGUAAGUGUGGCUUUUUACUUACAACGUCCUCUGUGUGAGAUACUCCUGCGUUUUCACAUGCAUAAGUACACCUUCAGGGAGAGCUAGAGGAUAUUUGGGAAGUGAGUGCUGCAGAAAACAAACUGGGAUCACAUUAAUGGGCCUGACAAUAGCUGCAGCCCAUGAGUGCAUCGCUGGAUGCAUAGAUCUUGUGUUUGGAUAAAUACAGAGACUUUUUUUCUCCAUAGCACUGUCUGGAGUCAAGAACUCUUCUGCAGAUCUUCAAAUAAAAAUGAUAGGUAAUUCAGAUAGUCAGGGUGUUCAGAACCACACAAAUCUCAGGGAAGAGAAGAAAGUUUUCUUUCUAAAGGCAUGUUGCUCAGUCUACAAACUAUGAAGGUACCUGAACAGAAGAGAUGAACUUGCUUGGCUGAGAACACUGACUGACAAGAUAGGCCUGUUUAACUCCUUCUUGUAAUUGUUUUUAAAUACACUGUAUAAACCAAUAAAUUUGUAGCCAAAGGGCAAGAACUUUAACUCUUUUUAUCACACAGAAAGCUGCAAAAGCAUCACACCCUUCACUAUCAGGAAGAAAAAAAGAACAGGCAACAAGGAGGCAAUCCUGGUGCAGGUCCCACAGCCCUGCCAGGUACAGGGCCUGGUAGCACACCCUACCAAAAAGAGUUCUAGUGUCAGAAAUGGCACUACUUCACAACAAAACUGCUCCUGCAAAAGUCACUUGAGGAGUGAGAAAGGUCUUGAAUAGAAGGCACUGGGUGUGAAAGGUAAAACCUGUGAAUUUAUGCAAAAAACAUGGCAACAGAGUUCCAUGCUCAAUAGAAGGGUAUCAUGUG